GAGGGUGCGAGCGUUGUCCGGAAUCACUGGGCGUAAAGGGCGCGUAGGUGGCUCUAUAAGUCGGGGGUGAAAUGCUGCGGCUCAACCGCAGCGCUGCCUCCGAGACUGUAGGGCUCGAGCACGGUAGAGGCCGAUGGAAUUCCCGGUGUAGCGGUGGAAUGCGUAGAGAUCGGGAAGAACACCAAUGGCGAAGGCAGUCGGCUGGGCCGUUGCUGACACUGAGGCGCGACAGCGUGGGGAGCAAACAGGAUUAGAUACCCUGGUAGUCCACGCCGUAAACGAUGGGCACUAGGCGUCGGGGGGAGCGACCCUCCCGGUGCCGUCGCUAACGCAGUAAGUGCCCCGCCUGGGGAGUACGGCCGCAAGGUUG
rnacentral:rRNA from 1 species